rnacentral:rRNA from 1 species
CGAGCGGAUGAGGGAGCUUGCUCCUGGAUUCAGCGGCGGACGGGUGAGUAAUGCUUAGGAAUCUGCCUAUUAGUGGGGGACAACAUUUCGAAAGGGAUGCUAAUACCGCAUACGCCCUACGGGGGAAAGCAGGGGAUCUUCGGACCUUGCGCUAAUAGAUGAGCCUAAGUCAGAUUAGCUAGUUGGUGGGGUAAAGGCCUACCAAGGCGACGAUCUGUAGCGGGUCUGAGAGGAUGAUCCGCCACACUGGGACUGAGACACGGCCCAGACUCCUACGGGAGGCAGCAGUGGGGAAUAUUGGACAAUGGGGGGAACCCUGAUCCAGCCAUGCCGCGUGUGUGAAGAAGGCCUUUUGGUUGUAAAGCACUUUAAGCGAGGAGGAGGCUCUUCUAGUUAAUACCUAGGAUGAGUGGACGUUACUCGCAGAAUAAGCACCGGCUAACUCUGUGCCAGCAGCCGCGGUAAUACAGAGGGUGCGAGCGUUAAUCGGAUUUACUGGGCGUAAAGCGUACGUAGGCGGCUUUUUAAGUCGGAUGUGAAAUCCCUGAGCUUAACUUAGGAAUUGCAUUCGAUACUGGGAAGCUAGAGUAUGGGAGAGGAUGGUAGAAUUCCAGGUGUAGCGGUGAAAUGCGUAGAGAUCUGGAGGAAUACCGAUGGCGAAGGCAGCCAUCUGGCCUAAUACUGACGCUGAGGUACGAAAGCAUGGGGAGCAAACAGGAUUAGAUACCCUGGUAGUCCAUGCCGUAAACGAUGUCUACUAGCCGUUGGGGCCUUUGAGGCUUUAGUGGCGCAGCUAACGCGAUAAGUAGACCGCCUGGGGAGUACGGUCGCAAGACUAAAACUCAAAUGAAUUGACGGGGGCCCGCACAAGCGGUGGAGCAUGUGGUUUAAUUCGAUGCAACGCGAAGAACCUUACCUGGUCUUGACAUAGUAAGAACUUUCCAGAGAUGGAUUGGUGCCUUCGGGAACUUACAUACAGGUGCUGCAUGGCUGUCGUCAGCUCGUGUCGUGAGAUGUUGGGUUAAGUCCCGCAACGAGCGCAACCCUUUUCCUUAUUUGCCAGCGGUUCGGCCGGGAACUUUAAGGAUACUGCCAGUGACAAACUGGAGGAAGGCGGGGACGACGUCAAGUCAUCAUGGCCCUUACGACCAGGGCUACACACGUGCUACAAUGGUCGGUACAAAGGGUUGCUACCUCGCGAGAGGAUGCUAAUCUCAAAAAGCCGAUCGUAGUCCGGAUUGGAGUCUGCAACUCGACUCCAUGAAGUCGGAAUCGCUAGUAAUCGCGGAUCAGAAUGCCGCGGUGAAUACGUUCCCGGGCCUUGUACACACCGCCCGUCACACCAUGGGAGUUUGUUGCACCAGAAGUAGGUAGUCUAACCGUAAGGAGGACGCUUACCACGGUGUGGCCGACGACUGGGGUGAAGUCGUAA